GACAAUGGAACGAAGGCUAACGCCUUUGUGACCAACAUCCUGUUGG
rnacentral:sRNA from 1 species